rnacentral:rRNA from 1 species
UGAAUCUUAAUCUAAAUAUUAAGAUAAGGUAAGAGAAAAUAAUGAUAUUAUCUUACUAUUAGUGUCGUCUAAAUUUGGUGCCAGAAGACUCGGUAAGACCUUAGACGCAAACGUUAAUCGUCAUAAUCAGGCGUAAAGGGUGUGUAGGCUGCUUUAAAAAAUAUAAUAAGUAAUAUAAUUAUUAUAGCAAAAAAAUUAUAUUUUAAUAAAAGCUAGAAUCUAAAAGAGGGUAAGCUAAACAACAUAAUUAACUGGGACUGACAACUUAUAAUAAUGUGGAGUACUAAAGGUUAAAGCUAUUUAUCUACUGAAGAUUGACGCUGAGAAACGAAGGGGAGAAUAAGAAACUUAGAUUAGAGACCUAAUUAUCUCUCUCAGUCAACGAUGAAUGGUAGUUAUUAAAAAUUUUAUAAUUUUAGUAACGAGGUUAACACGAUGACCAUUCCGCCUUGUUAGUAAGACUGCAAAGUUGAAAACAAAAAAAUUAGUCGGUCUUGAAGCAAACGAAGUGAAGCAUGUUAUUUAAUUC